ACGAGGCGCACCGGCUGCGUCUUCACCACUUGAGAAUUAUGCAUGAGACAAAACGUCAGCUCAGGGUCCCAGGCACUGGGCAGCGUGCACGUUCCCAACUCAUUCCAGACCCAGAGAUGGUGGCCCCCUGCUGCUCUGUGCAGGAUUUCAUUAAAAGCCAAAUUACUGGUUUAUGUAUUGUUUGAGGAAAAGAGAAAAUAAACAAAGGGCCUUUUUUCAUCUGACAAGCAGAAUGAAAAUGGCAGUCCCCACAGCGGCCAGGACGUCACCAUGGACCCCUGAACCGAACCAGAGGGUCAGUGACUCAGGGCCAUCGCUUAGGUACACAUAAGUAAACCCAGUCCCAGGUCCAAAUUCGGGGAUGCAUGCCGUUUUCUGGCAUCUGCCUGGGCAAGGGCCCUGUCUCCACUCCUGGAGAUGAUUCUAAAGAGCCAUUUUUAAAAUUGGGAAGUUGUUGUACAAACUGGACCCUGUUCCCAUUACCUGACCAUUUUCCAGGGCAGGUAAGAGAAAUGAGUUGCCCUAAUGGGCUUCUGCUUUGCUCUGGGCUCAUUUCCACUCUUGGGUGUUUACUCACUGCUCCUCUUCAGCCCUGGUGGGGAGGCAGGGUCUGUUGUACAGAUGAAGGAAUGGGGCACAGAGAGGUUGUGUGACUGGUCCAAGGUCACCCAGCUGGGCAAUGGGGCAGUAGUGGGUCUGGCUCCAGGCUGCUUGGUCUUAAUCACUCCAACUUCUGCGGGCAACCGGGCUUCAGGAAGAGUCCUUUGAGUCCUAGAAGGUGGCAGAUCCAUCCAGUCAGCCCCCAGAUUCUCUUUGCACGAUGAGGUCGGCUCACUUUUCCCAACACUUAGCUUGCCAUCCUUUUCAUGGUUUUUCCCUGCACCCACCUGGUGCCUCCAGUUUGGCACCAUCACUCACGGAGCAGAGUGCUCUCAGCUGGGUACAGUCCUGAGGCCCCUUGGAGAGCUAGAUACCAAAAAGCCCACGCUGUCCCAGAUCUUUUGCUGCCAUAUUUGAGUGCAGUUGAGGGCUUUAUUCACCCCCUUGGUGGGUGCAGAGCUGGUUAGGGCAGCUGGCGAGCAAGGGAGCUCAGACCUCUGCAGGGCGGGCCUGGCAUCCCUCCCUUACCUCCCCCCGGCUCCCCAGCCCUCUUCUCUCCCCUGCCCUCGCUUGUACCACCCAGCACAGAGUCAGUGGCUGGAACGGUCCUGGGGACCCCACAGAGAUCAGUCCUCACGGGUCCUUGAGGAUGCAAAGACCCCCUAAAUCUCAGUGCUGAGUGGGACCCCUGAGUUUAUUCCCCUCCUGUCCCGCCCCUCUACUCACACCUUCAUACAGGUAAGAGAACCAAGGUCCAAGGGAGUAGAACGCUUUGCCAGAUUUUUUCCCAAGGGUUAUCUCAUACUUUGGAGUGAGACCCACCUCUGGCAAAUCAGCAGCCUCCUUCUUGGUAGCAAUGGGGGUGACCCAGCACCCCAGGGCUGCGGGAAUGCCAAGCAGGACUCAGUACGUCAGUUCUCAAGGCGGGGGUGACGUCGCCACACUGCUGCUGAGCUCUAGAAGCCAGGGCCUUCACCCUGCAGUGCCAGCUCAUAAUAGGUGCUCAGCUAAUGCCCGAAUCAAAGCCGGCCACAGACACCAGCACAAAGUAGGUGUUUGUGCUUAGCGUGGGAGUGUACUGAAUCAGGUCUCUGUUGCCAGGAGGGAGCUAACAGGAGGCACUGGGAGGACAUUUGUGGAAUGAAUAAAUAAAAGCGUGCUCUUUGAGGAAAUAAAGCAGCAGAGAAACUAAGAAGAAUCUGGAGAAGAUGGACAUAAAUCUCCACCAAGCGCCGCCAAGUCUCUGCAGUUGAGGCCUCUGAAAAGACCCUGCAGAGGCAGGGGAGCCGUUUGUCACUGCGGGACAGACUUGAGGGCCAGGAAGCAAGGGCUUGAUGGAGCCUCAUUCAUCAUUUUCGCAUUUUCCCUGUGGUGGCGCCGGAGGGGAGCUCAUGUAUGUGCAGCCACACCGCCCACCUGGCGAGGCAGGUUGUACUGGACACUCGGCAGGUGCCCAGUGCAUGGACAUCCCACAGGCAGAGCCUUGUGUUGACCCCAGCCAGGAGUCAAGGACUGGGCCAGAGGCAUAUGCACCGACCGCUUAGCCUGGAGAGAUGUGGCCUUUGAGCUGGUGAGCCUGGCCCAACCCUGGCAGCCUUCCUUGGGUCUGUGGCCAGCCUGCCUUUGCUCUGCUUUCUCUGAAACCGCCUUGGAGUCUCAGCCCUUUCCUCUCCUGAUCCAGUCCCCUGCACCGUGGGCCCCGCUGUUAGAGAAGGCCAAGGGCACCCAUGGCCCAGCAGACGGACGCACGGCUCCCUCACCUGCCUCGCCAGGGAAGUGGAGAGGAGACCCCUGCACCCUGCCCCCUCCCAACCGUUUGAAAGACCCUGACUGAGGACCGGCGGGCAAAUCCUGCAGCAGAACCACACCAGCCUUCGUGUGGACUGUGGGGAGGACUGGGGGGGCUCUGACAGAAGUCCUGAGUGAGAGAAACUCAAAGCUAAUGACCCCAGAUGGUGGAGCUGGGGAGGUGAAAACGCCGGUUAGAAGGACGUAGGAUGUCCUGCUCUUCCUUUUCAAACACUUAGAAUGUUGUCAGGCCAUUUGAGUAAUAAAAACACAUCAUAAAAAUCUUAA